rnacentral:rRNA from 1 species
UACGGAGGAUGCGAGCGUUAUCCGGAUUUAUUGGGUUUAAAGGGUGCGUAGGCGGAUCGUUAAGUCAGUGGUCAAAUUGAGGGGCUCAACCCCUUCCCGCCAUUGAAACUGGCGAUCUUGAGUGGAAGAGAAGUAUGCGGAAUGCGUGGUGUAGCGGUGAAAUGCAUAGAUAUCACGCAGAACCCCGUUUGCGAAGGCAGCAUGCCGGCUUCCUACUGACGCUGAAGCACGAAAGCGUGGGGAUCGAACAGG